rnacentral:rRNA from 1 species
AGAUGGCGACCGGCGCACGGGUGAGUAACACGUAUCCAACCUGCCGAUAACUCGGGGAUAGCCUUUCGAAAGAAAGAUUAAUACCCGAUGGUAUAAUCAGACCGCAUGGUUUGAUUAUUAAAGAAUUUCGGUUAUCGAUGGGGAUGCGUUCCGUUAGGCAGUUGGUGAGGUAACGGCUCACCAAACCUUCGAUGGAUAGGGGUUCUGAGAGGAAGGUCCCCCACAUUGGAACUGAGACACGGUCCAA